rnacentral:sRNA from 1 species
CUGGGACGGGAGCCCACUUCCUCAGAGCAAGGCGGCCUUGAAGGAUCUGGUUCUGCUGCCGGAGAAGGCAAACCCGUUUUGAGUGAAGAGGAAAGACAGGAACAAACUAAGAGGAUGUUGGAGCUGGUGGCCCAGAAGCAGCGGGAGCGUGAAGAAAGAGAGGAACGGGAGGCAUUGGAACGGGAACGGCAGCGCAGGAGACAAGGGCAAGAGUUGUCAGCAGCACGACAGCGGCUACAGGAAGAUGAGAUGCGCCGGGCUGCUGAGGAGAGGCGGAGGGAAAAGGCCGAGGAGUUAGCAGCCAGGUCCUGUUCCCUCUUCUCCCAGCCAGGAGCCUCCCACCAAGCGGGAGUAUGACCAGUGUCGCAUACAGGUCAGGCUGCCAGAUGGGACCUCACUGACCCAGACGUUCCGGGCCCGGGAACAGCUGGCAGCCGUGAGGCUCUAUGUGGAGCUCCACCGUGGGGAGGAACUAGGUGGGG